rnacentral:piRNA from 1 species
UUUUCAAGAAAAAAUCUUUAA